rnacentral:lncRNA from 1 species
GGACCCACAUGGAGAUGUCAAUACCUUAUUUCUAUAGUUGUCUAUCGAGGUAGGCACAUCAUCUCCUGUCAUGAUAGGUUAAUUUUAUAUAUUAUAAUUUUUUUAUAUUUAAUUUAUUUUAAAUUUUUAUCGUAUAUAAAUAAUUGAUUUUAAGCUUUUAUUUUGUUGCAGCUGAUAUUGUCAUUAGGCGGACUUGUGGAGCCACCAAAAAUGAGAUGCUUGAGGAGUGGAGGAGGCCACAUCCCAAGGAGAGGAUGAGGGUUGUCAUCCCAUCAGAAUAUAUCAUGCCAGUUUAGUGCCACGUCAGAGACCCAUACGUAUGCAAGGUUGGCAUCAUUGUCCAAGAGUACGCUCCCUGACAAUAUUCGAUUGAUGGAGGGUUUUGAGGCUGCAGAAGCAGAUCCUCCUCGAUUAUUUAUCGGUAACUAAAUAUAAAUUAUGUUAUAUUUUUUAAAUAUAGAUCAUUAUAUUUAUUUUAUAUUUAAUAUAAUAUGUACUUAACUUUUAUUUUUAAAUCUAGAUGUUAUAUAUUAUUUCUACAGCACGACUUUAAUAUUGAGGAGAUUGAUACCCUGCAC